rnacentral:tmRNA from 1 species
GGGCUUUUCCCGCGAUCCGCGUCCGCCUAUAUGACUCGUGUCGGGUUCUACCCGGCUAUGGCGAUAAACUGCGGCGUACAAUAGGCGCAGCGGACCCGGGGGCAGUACCCGGCGGCUCCACCACCGCGGCUGCACGCAGCCGCGCUGACGGGGCCGAACCAGGAUCGACGUGUGUUGAAAAGCGCUGUUUUCGCUCGGAAUGGGACCACCGCAACGGCCCAUUACACAAGUGCCAACGACAACGAAGCACUCGCGAUUGCGGCGUAACUGACGGCCUAACGGCCUGACGUUACACCAAGAAAGCGCGGUCGGACCCCACCGGGCAACAGAAGGGGAUUCCA